rnacentral:lncRNA from 1 species
UUGUUUCUUCCUCAGCCUUUUUCCACUGCCCGAAACUCUUCUCACUCUACCUCUUGGUUCCAGAUUGUUCCUCCUCCCCAAGCUCUCCUCUCUCUCGAUUUUUCUUUCUUUCUCUUCCCCCUUUUCUUUUUUUCCUCAGCCGAAACCCUCCUUUGCACUUUUUCUUUCUGUUUUCUUGCUUUUCCUCCCAACCUAGCCCCCACGAAGCUCCCUCCUU